AAAUACACCAGCGGCUUGGAGCGUCUCCGAGCUCUAACCGCGCCAGGAAUGCUCACUGCCCAACACUUUCUUCCCCUCUACCCCCCGCGGUCACGCCUCGUGUAACUGCCCGCUUGCCCCGCGUGGUGCCCGCGGGACAGGGACCCGGAUGGGGCUGCUCAACGCCGUUCUUUGGGGGGGCGGGGGAACGACGACGGGCAGGGUGUGAGGCAAAGGGGAGGGAAGAGCCAUGCCCCGCCCGCCCGGGGUGGAGCCCCCUGGGGCAGCUCCCCGCCAUCCCACCCGACGAACGCCUGAUCCCCAAAUUCCGUCACCUUGCAGGAAUACUUAAACUUGUUCCAGCCUUUAGCAUGGUGAUGUUAUAGGUAAACAAGUCUCGUAGCGGCAUAUUUUGUGUAAUUUGGUCCGUAGCCGUUUGUAUUCAGCCUGUCCCACGUAUGCAAAGUAAAACUGUAAAUAAAACAACAGUUAAAGUCCAACAUGUGUUCAAAGCUGGCAUGGCGAAGGGUGUGUCUGCAGCGCUGAUCUCGCCACAGCAGCCAGUGACAGUCCGUGUUCCUCCUGGCGGCCGCAACAGUUCCCGAGGAGGCUGGCUAAGUUUGAUAAGACAGGCUAAUGCCCUCCUUCCCUUCCCGUUCUCUGGAAGGAAGGAGGAAUGCCAUGGAAGCAAUGGACACGACGCGAGGACAGCCUGCUAUGGAGCCUUCUCCCUGUGGGAAGGCCCAGGGCGAGUAGGAGGAAUCGCUAUCGCAGCACCGGGCCCGGUCGUUUGCUGGCCCAUCCCUGCGUGCCAGGGGAACCUCCCCGCUGUCCGACAUGCCCCGGCCCGGGGCUGCUCCCGAGGCGCCGGCAGCGCGGGUUCGUGCAGGGAGCCGAGGGGUGGUGAGCGGCUGGUUUGUGCCACAGCAGGGCCCGGGCUGCCGGGCUGCGUGAACGCCGCGCUCCCACCUUUCCCUGGAAGCUGGCGCCCGUGACUCCACGAACAGCGGCGUUAUUACAGAGAUUACAGGCAGAAUACAAG